rnacentral:tRNA from 1 species
GCCGUGUUAGCUCAGUUGGUAGAGCAACCGCCUUGAAGAUACGAGUGCCCUAUCGGAAACGGUGGGAGUAGAACCCCUCAAACUCGGGGAAAGCUAAGGUCCGUCAGGACUAUGCCAAUCCCGAGCCAAGCUUGCCAUCGGCAAGAAGGUGUAGAGACUAGACGGGGGGAGCCUAAAGCGUCAGCCAGGGCUAAGGGAUAGUCCAGACCACAAACAGUUGGCGGCGAAAGCCGUAGUGGUAAGGUAAGCGGUAGGUCGUCUGUUCGAGUCAGACACGCGGCACCA